rnacentral:lncRNA from 1 species
AGAAAUGCUGGGAUGAAGGAGAGUUUCAAGUGACAUUUUCUUGUAAAUAAAUAUCAGCUAAUGUCUUUUUCAAAAUGGCUGACUAGAUACCCAGAAUGAUCGUCCCCAAUGAGAAGAAAUAAAUGUGUUAAGUGAAACAUAAAAAGGCAUUGCUGAACUGGUAUGGUAACAAGGAAUCUGCAGAGAUGCAUUUGUUGGGAAAGUAGAGAUCCACUUCACAUCUUGGGAUCCACUCUGAUGGCUUCAUUGACAACAGAUCAUAAACUCUAGGACUCAUCAAAGGGACAGACUUUCAGGGCAGAUUACCAGGAGACAGCUUUUACAAUGAGUGCACUGGAAAGAGGAAGGAAAAAGUCAUUUUGCUGCUUCAUGUGUUGCCUACACAGCGACUGUUACAGUGGUUUCAGCAGAGUCAGUGGUGGUGUCAAGAGCAUCUGGAACAGAGACGGCAGCUUAGUUCAUAUGAAGCAGCAAUAGCAACAGAAGAAGAGGCAGUGACAUCACCCUCAGUUUGUUGGGGAAUGUCUGCAACCAUCAGUUCUCCUCUGUUGCUAAGAGCUCCAGCACAGCAUUGUCUUCUGUUAAAUGAAGCAGCAUGAAUGAACCCAGCU